CCCUCACUUAUCUCUCUCAAUUGAUCGAGCACUCAUAUGUUCUUCUCUCAAAGGCCAAGAUUGGUGGUUUUUAGUCCAAAAAUUGAAGAACAGAUGCGGGAAUUGCUAAACGUGAAGGAGACCUCUGAGGAAUUGCUAAAAAAUGAAGGCCCACCUCCUGUCUAUCUCCCAAGAAUUGCAAAACGUGAAGGGGCUUAGGUUUUAUUGCUCUCAGCUACUCUGAAUCUGUUGAUGGCAUUUGCAACUGGAGGAUAUGCUGCUAUGUAGAGGGUUACACAGUUGAACCUGGAUUUCACAGAGCACAGCAAACAAGGUGAUAGAUACCGUGAUCUAGCUCACCAUGUAGACGAGACUCUUGGAUUUAUGACUGCUGCUGGACUUCCAAUUGACCAUAUCAACGGUGCUUGCUUCUACCGUAUCAAUGGUCUAUUACUAAAUUGGAUUCCACAUCUGGCUUGUACUGCGAUUGUUAAGCCCAUUUCCUUUGGUUCGAUGGUUCUCAUGUUGAAACACCAUCAAAGCUCCUUGUGGUCUAAAGACUCUGCCUUUUGAUGCUACAGGGCGGAAGUAACAGCAUUCUUUGAUGUCCAUAAGCAGGAAGGCAGCCACCCUGGGAGGAGUCCAUCUACAGAUGCCUGGCCAAAAUGUGACAGAAUGCAUUGGUGGAUUGCGUACUGUGACCCUUUGAUGAACUAAGCUCGCGCUACCACACACACUGUGAUCCUAGGCUUAAUGCUUCUCAAUCACUUGAACUUGCAUUUAUCAUGGCUGAGCGACUGAGAAAGAGGCGGCUUGGAUCCCAAAAGUCAAUAGCAUUUUAGAUAUUCUAGAAUGAUUUUGAGGGCGUCAAUUAUGUCUGUACCGUUCUGCAUCAUAUGCUUCUCUGUAUCAAUUUAUACAACAUGUUUGUUUCUCUAUUUAUAAAUAUACCAUGUAUUACUCUGUC